UACGUAGGCAGCGAGCGUUGUUCGGAGUUACUGGGCGUAAAGGGUGUGUAGGCGGUUUUCUAAGUUUGGUGUGAAAUCUCCCGCUCAACCGGGAGGGUGCGCCGAAAACUGGGAGACUAGAGUGCGGGAUGGGAGAGUAGAAUUCCUGGUGUAGCGGUGAAAUGCGUAGAGAUGUGGAGGAACACCAGUGGCGAAGGCGACUCUUUGGCCUGUAACUGACGCUGAGGCGCGAAAGCGUGGGGAGCGAACAGG
rnacentral:rRNA from 1 species